rnacentral:rRNA from 1 species
UACGUAGGGUCCGAGCGUUGUCCGGAAUUACUGGGCGUAAAGAGCUCGUAGGUGGUUUGUCGCGUUGUUCGUGAAAACUCACAGCUCAACUGUGGGCGUGCGGGCGAUACGGGCAGACUGGAGUACUGCAGGGGAGACUGGAAUUCCUGGUGUAGCGGUGGAAUGCGCAGAUAUCAGGAGGAACACCGGUGGCGAAGGCGGUUCUCUGGGCAUGAUCUGACGCUGAGGAGCGAAAGUGUGGGGAGCGAACAGG